rnacentral:rRNA from 1 species
AUGUCUUAUUUAGCGGCCCACAAGCCCACAACAGCACAACCCACCGGUGGAAGCUACCGCGCAUGCGCAGUCGUUCCCCAGCCCCCACUCGUUCAACCCGAAUCCAUUCCCCAGCCCCCACUUGACCGUUCCCCAAGCACCCAACCUAACCUAGCGCCUGCUGCUGCUGCGGCGGCGGCGGCCAGUACCGACCGCAGGCAGCAGCAAGCGGAGCCGUUGAACGGGCGACCAGUGGACCAGAGCAUUGUUGCAUUGUGGGAAAGAGCUUCCAAGGCAAAUAAAAGAACUUUGACAUCUACACCAAAUCCUCCUGAUGUUGAAGUUGAGAGCAGUAUCAUUCCUCCUACUAUUGAGAGCAAUCUGCAACUGGCACUUGUGCAAGCACGUGAACCUGAUGAUGGCCACAUAGAACCUGAGAGUGGAGCUGGCUCCACAACCCCAAUUGUAGAAGAUGAUGAAGCACAUGAUGAAGUUCAGUUUGAAGUAGAUUUGGAAGCACUUGAGUCUGAUCCUGGGAAACGGAUCCCCGUCUCUAGGUACAAUUUCAAUGAUCAGGAUAAAGUUAGAAGGAGAUACAUCGAGUUGGGGGCAUGUCAACCAAAGAAUCAUAAUUUUGAGUAUAGAGAUAUAAGUGGAUUACAGCGUCGCUUUUCUCCUUCUUGGUUUAAGGAGUACAAGUGGCUUGAGUAUAGUGUGGACAAAGAAGCCGCUUUCAGCUUCAUUUGCUAUUUGUUCAAGGAUAAAACAAGAUGUCCCGGUGGAGAUGCUUUUGUGAAGAAGGGAUUUAAUAACCGGAACAUGAAGUCGAGAUUAAAGAAACAUGAAGGUGAGGAAAUUGGUUUGGGAAGGCCAUGUGAUACACGUUGGGGCUCUCACUUCAAAAUUGUGAACCGUGUCAUCUCUAUGUAUGGUGCACUACGACGAGUCCUUCGCAAGAUUGGAGACGAGUACCAUGGUGCGGAGGCACAAGCGGCUCUAUCCAUAGAGACAAUAUUUCGAUCAUUUGAGUUUCUUUUCAUGGCACACUUGAUGCAAGAAAUAUUCGGAUACAUAGAUGAGUUGUGUAGAGCUUUGCAAAAGGAAGACGAAGAUAUUGUUCAUGCUAUUGAGCUUGUUGGUGACACAAGGUAUUACUUGGAGGCUUUGAGGACCGAUGUUGGAUGGGAUGAUUUUCUCACAAAGGUCGCAUCUUUUUGUACAAAGCAUAAGAUCAAAGUUGUUGAUAUGGAGGGUCCUUACUUUCCCGUUGCAGCGGCGACACCAGGGCCCACAAGCCCACAGCGGCACAGCCCACCGGGCAGAAGCUACCGCGCGUGCGCAGUCGUUCCCCAGCCCCCACUCGUUCAACCCGAAUCCAUUCCCCAGCCCCCACUCGGCCGUUCAUCAAGCACCCAACCUAACCUAGCGCCUGCUGCAACGGCGGCGGCGGCUAGUACCGACCGCGGGUAG